rnacentral:rRNA from 1 species
UGAAUACGAGACGCUACGGCGUCGAAGCAGUCUAUGUCAUACUUCCAAGAAAAGCUUGCACUGUCAAAAACAAAUAAUGCCUGUACCAUAACCGACACAGGUGGGUAGGUAGAGUAUACUAAGGGGCGCGAGACAACUCUCUCUAAGGAACUCGGCAAAAUGACUCCGUAACUUCGGGAGAAGGAGUGCCUUAUUUAUAAGGUUGCAAUAACAAGAUCCAAGCAACUGUUUAUCAAAAACACAGGUCUCCGCUAAGUCGUAAGACGAUGUAUGGGGGCUGACGCCUGCCCAGUGCCGGAAGGUUAAAGAAGUUGGUUAGCAUUAGCGAAGCUGAUAACUGAAGCCCUGGUGAACGGCGGCCGUAACAAUAACGGUCCUAAGGUAGCGAAAUUCCUUGUCGGGUAAGUUCCGACCCGCACGAAAGGCGUAAUGAUUUGGAUACUGUCUCAGAGAGGGGCUCGGUGAAAUAGACUUGUCUGUGAAGAUGCGGACUACCUGCACCAGGACAGAAAGACCCUAUGAAGCUUUACUGUAACUUGAAAUUGAAAUUGGACUUUAUUUGCGCAGUAUAGGUGGGAGGCAUUGAUAAUAUUCUUGCGGGAAUGUUGGAGCCAUCAGUGAGAUACCACUCUUGUAAUGUUAGAUUUCUAACUCUGGAUCAUUAUCUGGUCAAAGGACAGUUUCAGGCGGGCAGUUUGACUGGGGCGGUCGCCUCCUAAAUGGUAACGGAGGCGCACAAAGGUUUCCUCUGAACGGGUAGAAAUCGUAUCUAGAGUGUAAAGGCAUAAGGAAGCUUGACUGUGAGACCUACAAGUCGAGCAAGGACGAAAGUCGGUCUUAGUGAUCUGACGGUGCUGAGUGGAAAGGCCGUCACUCAACGGAUAAAAGUUACUCUAAGGAUAACAGGCUGAUCUCCCCCAAGAGUUCACAUCGACGGGGAGGUUUGGCACCUCGAUGUCGGCUCAUCGCAUCCUGGGGCGGUAGUACGUCCCAAGGGUUGGGCUGUUCGCCCAUGAAAGCGGUACGCGAGCUGGGUUCAGAACGUCGUGAGACAGUUCGGUCCAUAUCCGGUGUAGGCGUUAGAAUAUUGAGAGGAGCCUUCUUUAGUACGAGAGGACCGAGAAGGACAUACCUCUGGUGUACCAGUUAUCGUGCCAACGGUAAACGCUGGGUAGCUAUGUAUGGAGAGGAUAACCGCUGAAAGCAUCUAAGUGGGAAGCCCACCUCAAGAUAAGUAUUCUGGUGUAAGGUCACGGGAAGACGACCCGUAAAUAGGCACGAGGUGGAAGCGCAGAGAUGUAUGAAGCCGAAGUGUACUAAUAGACCGUCGGCUUGAC